AAUUAAAAAAAAAAAAAAAAAAAAAAAAAAAAAAAACGAAAUACGGCGAAAAGGGGCAGCCAAAUCAACAAUUCCCCUGAUAAUCUACCAACUCCAGCGCAGUCUAUUUUCAUGUAGCAACAAGCAUCACCUCUGCCUUCGGAUAAAUGCUUAAGAGGUUCGAAAUUCUGUAACAACAAGCAUCACCUCCGCCUCCAGAGAGAGAGAGAGAUCGGAGGCGGCAGUUACGGAGAUUGUCGAGAGAAAGAGGCCAGCGGAAUGCAGGCGGGCGAUUUGGUGCUCCUUGAGUGGCGGUGGCGUUAGG
rnacentral:lncRNA from 1 species